AAAGCAGAAAAACGUGUGAGUUAGAAAAAGCCAGAGAAGGGGCUUGUGUGCUUAUGUCGGGAGUCUGCGGAAGACAUCUGCCCAGCUGAGGCCUGUAUUUCUCGGCUUCCUCCUGACUCCUUUCUGCCCCUCCCUCUACCACCUCCCCUGGUUCCAAGUUUGGUCACGUGAGCUCUUCUGGCUAAUGGAAUCUGUGCGUGUCGUUUCCCAGGCAGCUUCAAGAAGCCAUUGUGCUGCUAGACACAGACACUUGACUGUCGGCUGGGUAAAUGGGGAAGGUGCUGAGGCCCUAAAGGAUAGAGGAGCCACAAGAUGGAGGAAGCCUGAGUUCUAGAAACAACCCCUGGAGGAAAGAACACCACUUAAGGGGGUCAAAGACUGGACAGUUAGACCUGUGGAAAUAAACUCUAAUUUUAAGUCAUUAAAUUAGCUGCUAAAAUGUGGGGGGUGUUCAUAUAGCAGUUUGUAUUGCCAAAACCAAUACACAUGCUUGUUAUGAACACUGCAAAUGAUGCAGAGUCCAUCACUUGGCAAUGCAGCUUUGAUAAGUUAAACUACAAGCAGUGCUAGUUUUGUUUACCCUGGACAAUUUACUUAAGCUCUCUGAGUCCUAAUUCACUCAUAUGGAAACGACAUCUUCCCUAAAUAUUUUCUUCUCCACUCUGAACAUCCCCAGUUCUGUCCACCAUUCUUCAAAUAGAGGAAUUUUGGAUCUUUCAUUAUCUUUGCCUUUUGCAAAAGCUCUCAGUUUGGUCAAUGCUCCUCUUAAAGGGCACCACUCAGAAUUAACUACAUCACCAUAAAGGAGUCUAAUACAGUGGGGUCAUCACCUUACUUGCUUUGAAGACUAGAAGACUAGACAUCCUUUGUAGUUAAAGAUUGCAUGGAAACGGGUGAAACCAGUGUCUCUCUACGUAUUAAGAUAGUAAGGAGCUAAUAUUUGUAAGUGAGCCUACACCUUCGAUCUGUACUGAUGCAAUCAUAUCCUAGAAGCUGAGAUUGAAUUUCACUGUAUUUGUUUCAAUUCAUUGUCUUACCUUGGGUGUCACCUGUCACAUU
rnacentral:lncRNA from 1 species